CAGUCGUGAGGAAGGUAGUGUAGUUAAUAGCUGCAUUAUUUGACGUUAGCGACAGAAGAAAGCACCGGCUAACUCCGUGCCAGCAGCCGCGGUAAUACGGAGGGUGCGAGCGUUAAUCGGAAUUACUGGGCGUAAAGACGCAUGCAGGUGGUUUGUUUAAGUCAGAUGUGAAAGACCCGGGGCGUCAACCUACGGAAUAGCAUUUGUAAACUAGGCAGACUAGAGUACUGUAGAGGGGGGUAGGAAUUUCAGGUGUAGCGGUGAAAUGCGUAGAGAUCUGAAGGAAUACCGGUGGCGAAGGCGGCCCCCUCGGACAGAUACUGACACUCAGAUGCGAAAGCGUGGGGAGCAAACAGGAUUAGAUACCCUGGUAG
rnacentral:rRNA from 1 species